rnacentral:rRNA from 1 species
UACAGAGGGUGCUAGCGUUGUUCGGAAUCAUUGGGCGUAAAGGGCGUGUAGGCGGUUUGUUAAGUCAUGUGUGAAAUCCCUCGGCUCAACCGGGGAACGACGCAUGAAACUGGCAAGCUAGAGUACCAAAGAGGGGGGUGGAAUUCCCGGUGUAGCGGUGAAAUGCGCAGAUAUCGGGAAGAACACCCGUGGCGAAGGCGGUUCUCUGGGACGGUACUGACGCUGAGACGCGAAAGCGUGGGGAGCGAACAGG